GACGAACGCUGGCGGCGUGCUUAACACAUGCAAGUCGAACGGAAAGGCCUCUUUCGGGUGGUACUCGUUUGUCGAACUGGUGUGUAACACGUGAGUAUCCUGCCCUUUACUUUUUGAUAACUUCUUGAAACUGGGGCUAAUACCGGAUAUGAGCUCCUUCUGCAUGUUGGGGGUUGGAAAGUUUCGGCGGUUGGGGAUGGACUCGCGGCUUAUCAGCUUGUUGGUGGGGUAGUGGCUUACCAAGGCUUUGACGGGUAGCCGGACUGAGAGGGUGAACGGCCAAAUUGGGAAUGAGAUACGGGCCAGAAUCCUACGGGAGGAAGAAGUGGGGAAGAUUGAAAAAUGGGUGGAAGGCUGAUGCAGAAAAGCCGAGUGCGGGAUGAAGGGCUUCGGGUUGAAAAACGCUUUCGCUAAUGAAGAAGCAUUGUGUGACGGUAGUGGGUAAAGAAGCACCGGCUAACUACGUG
rnacentral:rRNA from 1 species